rnacentral:snRNA from 1 species
AGAGAAUUGCUUACCCGGGAGGUGGAGAUUGUGGUAAGCUGAGAUCGCGCCAUUGCACUCCAGCCUGGGCAACAAGA